GAAACAUCUUCGGGUUGUGAGGUUAAGCGACUAAGCGUACACGGUGGAUGCCCUGGCAGUCAGAGGCGAUGAAGGACGUGCUAAUCUGCGAUAAGCGUCGGUAAGGUGAUAUGAACCGUUAUAACCGGCGAUUUCCGAAUGGGGAAACCCAGUGUGAUUCGUCACACUAUCAUUAACUGAAUCCAUAGGUUAAUGAGGCGAACCGGGGGAACUGAAACAUCUAAGUACCCCGAGGAAAAGAAAUCAACCGAGAUUCCCCCAGUAGCGGCGAGCGAACGGGGAGGAGCCCAGAGCCUGAAUCAGUGUGUGUGUUAGUGGAAGCGUCUGGAAAGGCGUGCGAUACAGGGUGACAGCCCCGUACACAAAAAUGCACAUGCUGUGAGCUCGAUGAGUAGGGCGGGACACGUGGUAUCCUGUCUGAAUAUGGGGGGACCAUCCUCCAAGGCUAAAUACUCCUGACUGACCGAUAGUGAACCAGUACCGUGAGGGAAAGGCGAAAAGAACCCCGGCGAGGGGAGUGAAAAAGAACCUGAAACCGUGUACGUACAAGCAGUGGGAGCACGCUUAGGCGUGUGACUGCGUACCUUUUGUAUAAUGGGUCAGCGACUUAUAUUCUGUAGCAAGGUUAACCGAAUAGGGGAGCCGAAGGGAAACCGAGUCUUAACUGGGCGUUAAGUUGCAGAGUAUAGACCCGAAACCCGGUGAUCUAGCCAUGGGCAGGUUGAAGGUUGGGUAACACUAACUGGAGGACCGAACCGACUAAUGUUGAAAAAUUAGCGGAUGACUUGUGGCUGGGGGUGAAAGGCCAAUCAAACCGGGAGAUAGCUGGUUCUCCCCGAAAGCUAUUUAGGUAGCGCCUCGUGAAUUCAUCUCCGGGGGUAGAGCACUGUUUCGGCAAGGGGGUCAUCCCGACUUACCAACCCGAUGCAAACUGCGAAUACCGGAGAAUGUUAUCACGGGAGACACACGGCGGGUGCUAACGUCCGUCGUGAAGAGGGAAACAACCCAGACCGCCAGCUAAGGUCCCAAAGUCAUGGUUAAGUGGGAAACGAUGUGGGAAGGCCCAGACAGCCAGGAUGUUGGCUUAGAAGCAGCCAUCAUUUAAAGAAAGCGUAAUAGCUCACUGGUCGAGUCGGCCUGCGCGGAAGAUGUAACGGGGCUAAACCAUGCACCGAAGCUGCGGCAGCGACGCUUAUGCGUUGUUGGGUAGGGGAGCGUUCUGUAAGCCUGUGAAGGUGUGCUGUGAGGCAUGCUGGAGGUAUCAGAAGUGCGAAUGCUGACAUAAGUAACGAUAAAGCGGGUGAAAAGCCCGCUCGCCGGAAGACCAAGGGUUCCUGUCCAACGUUAAUCGGGGCAGGGUGAGUCGACCCCUAAGGCGAGGCCGAAAGGCGUAGUCGAUGGGAAACAGGUUAAUAUUCCUGUACUUGGUGUUACUGCGAAGGGGGGACGGAGAAGGCUAUGUUGGCCGGGCGACGGUUGUCCCGGUUUAAGCGUGUAGGCUGGUUUUCCAGGCAAAUCCGGAAAAUCAAGGCUGAGGCGUGAUGACGAGGCACUACGGUGCUGAAGCAACAAAUGCCCUGCUUCCAGGAAAAGCCUCUAAGCAUCAGGUAACAUCAAAUCGUACCCCAAACCGACACAGGUGGUCAGGUAGAGAAUACCAAGGCGCUUGAGAGAACUCGGGUGAAGGAACUAGGCAAAAUGGUGCCGUAACUUCGGGAGAAGGCACGCUGAUAUGUAGGUGAAGCGACUUGCUCGUGGAGCUGAAAUCAGUCGAAGAUACCAGCUGGCUGCAACUGUUUAUUAAAAACACAGCACUGUGCAAACACGAAAGUGGACGUAUACGGUGUGACGCCUGCCCGGUGCCGGAAGGUUAAUUGAUGGGGUCAGCGCAAGCGAAGCUCUUGAUCGAAGCCCCGGUAAACGGCGGCCGUAACUAUAACGGUCCUAAGGUAGCGAAAUUCCUUGUCGGGUAAGUUCCGACCUGCACGAAUGGCGUAAUGAUGGCCAGGCUGUCUCCACCCGAGACUCAGUGAAAUUGAACUCGCUGUGAAGAUGCAGUGUACCCGCGGCAAGACGGAAAGACCCCGUGAACCUUUACUAUAGCUUGACACUGAACAUUGAGCCUUGAUGUGUAGGAUAGGUGGGAGGCUUUGAAGUGUGGACGCCAGUCUGCAUGGAGCCGACCUUGAAAUACCACCCUUUAAUGUUUGAUGUUCUAACGUGGACCCGUAAUCCGGGUUGCGGACAGUGUCUGGUGGGUAGUUUGACUGGGGCGGUCUCCUCCUAAAGAGUAACGGAGGAGCACGAAGGUUGGCUAAUCCUGGUCGGACAUCAGGAGGUUAGUGCAAUGGCAUAAGCCAGCUUGACUGCGAGCGUGACGGCGCGAGCAGGUGCGAAAGCAGGUCAUAGUGAUCCGGUGGUUCUGAAUGGAAGGGCCAUCGCUCAACGGAUAAAAGGUACUCCGGGGAUAACAGGCUGAUACCGCCCAAGAGUUCAUAUCGACGGCGGUGUUUGGCACCUCGAUGUCGGCUCAUCACAUCCUGGGGCUGAAGUAGGUCCCAAGGGUAUGGCUGUUCGCCAUUUAAAGUGGUACGCGAGCUGGGUUUAGAACGUCGUGAGACAGUUCGGUCCCUAUCUGCCGUGGGCGCUGGAGAAUUGAGGGGGGCUGCUCCUAGUACGAGAGGACCGGAGUGGACGCAUCACUGGUGUUCGGGUUGUCAUGCCAAUGGCACUGCCCGGUAGCUAAAUGCGGAAGAGAUAAGUGCUGAAAGCAUCUAAGCACGAAACUUGCCCCGAGAUGAGUUCUCCCUGACUCCUUGAGAGUCCUGAAGGAACGUUGAAGACGACGACGUUGAUAGGCCGGGUGUGUAAGCGCAGCGAUGCGUUGAGCUAACCGGUACUAAUGAACCGUGAGGCUUAACCUU
rnacentral:rRNA from 1 species